rnacentral:rRNA from 1 species
UGCAUGGAGAAGUAUGGUGUGGAUGUGCCCAAGUCAAUGGCAUAUAGAGCAAAGAACAUAGCUAUUGAUGCUGUGCUAGGAGACCACAAGAAGCAAUACCCUAGGUUGAAAGACUAUGCUCAGACAGUGAUGGAUACAAACCUUGGGAGUAGAGUAGUAGUCACUACUGUAACUCCAACACCCACUGAAAAAAUCCCCCAUCCAGGUCCAAGAUUCCAUGCUAUGUUCUAUUGCAUCAAUGGAGCAAGGGAGGGGUUUCUCGAGGGGUGCAGACCAUUCAUUGGUGUUGAUGGGUGCUUCAUUAAGUUAACUACUGGUGCUCAACUACUUGCUGCCACUGGUAGAGAUGGCAACAACAAUAUAUACCCACUAGCAUUUGGUAUUGUUGGGCAAGAGGACACACCUAAAUGGUGUUGGUUUCUACACCAACUUAAAAUCUGCCUAGGAGGAGAA